CGGACGGGUGAGUAACGCGUGAGAAUCUGGCUUCAGGUCUGGGACAACCACUGGAAACGGUGGCUAAUACCGGAUGUGCCGAAAGGUGAAAGGUUAACUGCCUGAAGAUGAGCUCGCGUCUGAUUAGCUAGUUGGUAGAGUAAAAGCCUACCAAGGCGACGAUCAGUAGCUGGUCUGAGAGGACGAUCAGCCACACUGGGACUGAGACACGGCCCAGACUCCUACGGGAGGCAGCAGUGGGGAAUUUUCCGCAAUGGGCGAAAGCCUGACGGAGCAAUACCGCGUGAGGGAGGAAGGCUCUUGGGUCGUAAACCUCUUUUCUCAGGGAAGAACACAAUGACGGUACCUGAGGAAUAAGCAUCGGCUAACUCCGUGCCAGCAGCCGCGGUAAUACGGAGGAUGCAAGCGUUAUCCGGAAUGAUUGGGCGUAAAGCGUCCGCAGGUGGCAAUGUAAGUCUGCUGUUAAAGAGUCUAGCUCAACUAGAUAAGAGCAGUGGAAACUACAUAGCUAGAGUACGUUCGGGGCAGAGGGAAUUCCUGGUGUAGCGGUGAAAUGCGUAGAGAUCAGGAAGAACACCGGUGGCGAAGGCGCUCUGCUAGGCCGUAACUGACACUGAGGGACGAAAGCUAGGGGAGCGAAUGGGAUUAGAUACCCCAGUAGUC
rnacentral:rRNA from 1 species